GCAGAAGAGAAUAAAAACAAGGAGAAGCCAGGCUUGUGGCUGCAUCUGUAGUCAGGGGGCCCCAGGGUUCUGUGAGCUCGGGAACUCCAGACCAGCCUGGGCAACUUAGUGAAAAGAAAAGAAACUGGAAAAAAAUGUUUUAAUAAUACGUUUUAUUUACCCCAAUAAAUCCAAAAUGUUAUUCAAACACAUAAUCAGUAUAAGAGAGGUUUUACAGGGCCUUUUUCCAGUCUACACCCAGCAUGCAUAUUACACCAAUGACGAGUGUCACCAGGGACCAGUCCCAUCCCAGUGCUGCAGCCACCCGUGGCUUGCAGCUGUGACACUGACCAUGGCUGUUCCACACCUAAAGACAGGGAAGCUGGACGCAGGGUGUAUGCCUGGGAUUCCAGCAAUCCAAGAUGCCCAGGCAGUUUGAGGCAGCCUCAGCAAUUUAGUGAGGCCUUAACUGAAACUUCUUUCUAAAGGGCCAGAGGGCCCCAGGACUGAAAACCAAGGUGGGAACCUGCCCAAGGCCAAGCUGGGGUGGGGACCACCAAGGCAGAGGCAGAGGUGGGGACACCACAAAGUGCAGGUGGGACUAGGGCCUGGAGGUCCUGUGGCCACAUGGAGCAUCCUGGCUUUGUGGGAUGCUUCAGGACAGCUGGAGGCCAAGUUGGGUCAGUGGGUCCCCUAGGAGCAGGAAGGACAGUUGGAGUGGGAAGUGGAGAUGGCCAUAGGCUAGAGGAAUAGCUGGACUUGAGGCUCCUCUGAGCUCCACAGAGUAAAGGGAGCAGAUUUCUGGUUGAUUGGGGAAGGAGGGACCCAGCAAGACUGGGAGAAAGAGGAGAAGGAAGAUGUGGGUCCCUGGGGGACAGCACCAGAGAGGCACUGUCCAGGGAGCAGCAGGCCAGGAGGGUGACCUGGCUGUAAGAAAGGGCAGCCAGGGGCCUCCAGGUGGGCUGAAGCAGGCAGCCUGGCCUGCCCUCAAUCAGGUAACUCAGGGGGCCAAAGAAGACUGGCCCUUGUUCCAGAACUGCCCCAGAAGGCAGCCACACCCACUUCCCAGAAGGCGACCCACAGGCCCCUGAACUCCAAGGAAGAGGGACCAGGUGGGCUAGUCCACUGAGUUCUGCAAAGGUCAGCCUCACUCCCUCAGAGCUUUGAACUUGCCUUUUGUUCCCGGGACUCGCUGCCUUUCUGAACCCAGUCUAAAAAUUACUGCAAUUCUUGCUGGUAUUAGUCAUCCCCUUGUGACUGAGGCUUGGGUACGUAGAUCUUUAAAUCCUGCAAUUAUUUCUCAACCUCGGGUUUUAAGAAUAAAAGUUGAAAAUACAACCAACCAGUAGUGACCGGCUCUGAGUCUGUGUCAACAGCACCUUCUUCUGAAGCCUGGAGAUAAUUCACACUCUCCGUAAUAAUGAAGCCAGAGUUCAAGACAGGCCUUCAGCGCAGAUAGGCGAGAGUCAGUAAGAGAACCCAGGAACUGAAAUGCUCCUGUCUUCACAGCCCUCCCUCCACCCUUCUGGAGGUCACCUGCCCUGCUCCAACCUGUUGCUAAGGAAUGAGAACUACUCUCCAGCAGGUCCACUCUGCUUGUUCUGCCUCUCUACAGCAUCCCCACACGGAAGCGUCAAACCUAAGCUCCCCACACCUCAGGUUGGAGAGAAGCCUUCCCUACCUCCAGGGAAACUGCUGACACCGUGGCCUCCAUCCUCAUCCAGCAGAUCAUUCCCAGGUUCGGACUUCCCGCCUCCAUCCAGUCAGACUACAGUCCGGCCUUCACUUCUCAGGUGGUUCAACUAGUCUCCAAAGGCCUCAACAUCACUUGGAGGCUCCCCAUCCCCACCAACCCCAAUCCCUGGGUAAGGCUGAGAGGCCUAAUGUCAUUCUCAGGAUCAUCUCACUAAACUCGCUAUUGAACUCGGGCUCUUCUGGCCCAGGCUCCUGCAGUUGGCCUUCACCUGAAUCCAGGCAGCCCCUAGAGCUCCUUCAGGCCUUAGCCCCUUUGAGCAACUCUGUGGGUGCCCUUUCUUAACCACCCAAAGCUUUCCCAUCACUCCUCCUCGCUUGUGUCCUACCUGCUGUGAUAGUAGGAGCAAAUGUGACUCCAUUUUGUUUUAUGACUUCAUCCUGUAAAACAACCAGGCCAGGUAGAAGGGUCCUGACUGGGGCAAGAUGUUCU